CCUGAGGUGAGCAUAUGGGCUGUGCCAAGGGCCUACCAUCAGGCUGCAGAGUGAGUUAAGGAAGCAGGCUGCGGAUGUGGUCCCCAGGGCAGCGGUAAAGCAGGAGGAAGGGAAGAGGGCGCAGGAGCAUUUCGGGCUGUGUGUCCUUGGGUGAGACUUGUCCCUUCUCUGGUCCUUACUUCCUCACUUGUGAGAUGGAGAAACGAUUGCUCUCAAGAGGAGGAUGGAUAAACACUGUAUAUACGAUACUUGGCAAACUGGCUUCAAGCUUCUCAUCAGAAGAAUGGGGAAAGUGACAAUAUGGUGACCGGCAGAGGUGCCAGCACUCGAAGCAGUAAUGUCUCUUAGCAUCCUUGGUUGUCAGAGGGCUGGGACGCUCAGAGAGAAACUGAGCUGCUGUGCCAAGCCUCUCUCACCACAGUGGACUGAAGACCCUGCAACAGCCAGAAGUGACUGUCGCCUCCGUUGGCUAUUUCUAUCAGUACACUAUAGCUGUUUUCAGAUACACCAGAAGGUUGUGAGCCACCACAUGGUUGCUGGGAAUUGAACUCAGGACCACUGGAAGAGCCAGUCAACUGCUGCGUCUUAAGCGCUGAGCCAUCUCUCCAGGUAG
rnacentral:lncRNA from 1 species